AUGGUACAUGUUUUCCUUGGCCAGAAUUGGAAGUCAAUUAAAGUGGACUUUAGAUCAAGAAACAGAGUCACUGCAGCUCAAGGCACCAAGAAUGGGAACAAACUUCCAGUCCACCAGAUGCAUCAUGGUGGUACUCUUGGGCGCAGCAUGAGAAACCCCAGAAACAGCGUGUAUGGCCGAUGGGCUCGUGUCCCUGGAAAGUGGACAGGGUGGUGGCAAAGGCGGACCCAGUGCUUCUUGCAGGCAAAGCCGUCUCUCAAGGAAUCUGAUGAGUAAGUAGUGCCCUAACUGCAUUCUCCUUCUAGUUAUCUGUUAAUAUUUUCAGAACACCAGCCUCUCGUCAAAUGGUGAAUUCUUUCAUUCUAAGGUGCCAAGGCACAGAUCAGGGAGAUGCUUAGGCGAGAUUCUUUCAAAGUCUGUUUUAUUUUCUGAAUGGCUUAAGUGUGAUUAAGAGGAUGUUAAGAUGGGAUUUUCAUAAACUUUAUAAUAUUUUUGGUGGUUGGGAAAUGAGAAGAUGCUUUGCACAUUUGGGGUUCUUUUGAAAAUUACCCAAAGAUAAGGAUGACCUUCUGUAUGGAGUGGGUGGGGUGUGGUCCUAUAUGUGUCAAGUUUUCA
rnacentral:lncRNA from 1 species